UACGAAGGGGGCUAGCGUUGUUCGGAAUCACUGGGCGUAAAGGGCGCGUAGGCGGCCGAUCAAGUCGGGGGUGAAAUCCUGAGGCUCAACCUCAGAACUGCCUUCGAUACUGGCAAUCUCGAGUCCGGAAGAGGUUGGUGGAACAGCUAGUGUAGAGGUGAAAUUCGUAGAUAUUAGCUAGAACACCAGUGGCGAAGGCGGCCAACUGGUCCGGUACUGACGCUGAGGUGGCGAAAGCGUGGGGAGCAAACAGG
rnacentral:rRNA from 1 species